CCCCAGUUCUAUGAUCCUGGGAAGCGGGAGCCACACUGUUUUUCCCCAUCAGUGCACCGCUCCCUCUCCUGGGGGAGUUGGCAGAUCCGCAGCUGGCCUGUUGGCUAGAGGCGCAUGGGCAGCGGAGCCUGGCAUUUCUUUACAGGCUCUCACUGUCUCUCUCUUGUGCUGCUUUCUUCCCGUUCCCACGCCCCACCUCUGCAAGUCCCCAGGGAUUCUGCUUUCUCCUGCAGUGCUGAGGGCAAAGGCCCUGGACGAUGAGAUAGACCGGGCCUUCCCCCUCCAGGGCUGCUCCGCCGGGACCCUCAAUGCCUCAUUGUCUCUGGCCUCCCAGACCCCAUCCCCUCCCGGGGAGAGAACGCGGUGGGCGGUGUGCUGGUCAGCAAGUCCAUGCCUGGUGCAAGCUGGCUGGAGUCCUCUCACUGGGUUUUGCUUUAUGGGUACCAUGCUGCUGCUGCUGCUAAGUUGCUUCAGUCGUGUCUGACUCUGUGUGACCCCAUAGACGGCAGCCUACCAGGCUCCCUCCACCCAUGGGAUUUUCCAGGCAAGAGUACUGGAGUGGGGUGCCAUUGCCUUCUUUGUAUGGGUACCAUGAGGCUUACAUAAAACAUUUUAUAGUUACAACAGUCUAUCUUAAGUUAUCAACUUAACAACCUAACUUUAUUUCCAUAUAAAAACUACUCUUUUACUUGCCCCUCCCUAUAGUCUGUUUUUG
rnacentral:lncRNA from 1 species